rnacentral:rRNA from 1 species
AUUGAACGCUGGCGGCAGGCCUAACACAUGCAAGUCGAACGGUAACAGGAAGCAGCUUGCUGCUUUGCUGACGAGUGGCGGACGGGUGAGUAAUGUCUGGGAAACUGCCCGAUGGAGGGGGAUAACUACUGGAAACGGUAGCUAAUACCGCAUAACGUCGCAAGACCAAAGAGGGGGACCUUAGGGCCUCUUGCCAUCGGAUGUGCCCAGAUGGGAUUAGCUAGUAGGUGGGGUAACGGCUCACCUAGGCGACGAUCCCUAGCUGGUCUGAGAGGAUGACCAGCCACACUGGAACUGAGACACGGUCCAGACUCCUACGGGAGGCAGCAGUGGGGAAUAUUGCACAAUGGGCGCAAGCCUGAUGCAGCCAUGCCGCGUGUAAGAAGAAGGCCUUCGGGUUGUAAAGUACUUUCAGCGGGGAGGAAGGGAGUAAAGUUAAUACCUUUGCUCAUUGACGUUACCCGCAGAAGAAGCUCCGGCUAACUCCGUG